rnacentral:rRNA from 1 species
GGGUGCGUAACGCGUAUGCAAUCUACCUUAUACAGGGGAAUAGCCCAGGGAAACUUGGAUUAAUGCCCCAUAGUAUCAUUAAGUAACCUUACUAUAUGAUUAAAGAUUUAUCGGUAUAAGAUGAGCAUGCGUCCCAUUAGUUAGUUGGUAAGGUAACGGCUUACCAAGACAGCGAUGGGUAGGGGCCCUGAGAGGGGGAUCCCCCACACUGGUACUGAGACACGGACCAGACUCCUACGGGAGGCAGCAGUGAGGAAUAUUGGACAAUGGGCGAAAGCCUGAUCCAGCCAUGCCGCGUGCAGGAAGACGGCCCUAUGGGUUGUAAACUGCUUUUGUACGGGAAGAAACNCCUCCACGUGUGGAGGCUUGACGGUACCGUAAGAAUAAGCAUCGGCUAACUCCGUGCCA